GGUUAAGCGACUAAGCGUACACGGUGGAUGNNNNNNNNGUCAGAGGCGAUGAAGGACGUGCUAAUCUGCGAUAAGCGUCGGUAAGGUGAUAUGAACCGUUAUAACCGGCGAUUUCCGAAUGGGGAAACCCAGUGUGUUUCGACACACUAUCAUUAACUGAAUCCAUAGGUUAAUGAGGCGAACCGGGGGAACUGAAACAUCUAAGUACCCCGAGGAAAAGAAAUCAACCGAGAUUCCCCCAGUAGCGGCGAGCGAACGGGGAGCAGCCCAGAGCCUGAAUCAGUGUGUGUGUUAGUGGAAGCGUCUGGAAAGGCGCGCGAUACAGGGUGACAGCCCCGUACACAAAAAUGCACAUGCUGUGAGCUCGAUGAGUAGGGCGGGACACGUGGUAUCCUGUCUGAAUAUGGGGGGACCAUCCUCCAAGGCUAAAUACUCCUGACUGACCGAUAGUGAACCAGUACCGUGAGGGAAAGGCGAAAAGAACCCCGGCGAGGGGAGUGAAAAAGAACCUGAAACCGUGUACGUACAAGCAGUGGGAGCACGCUUAGGCGUGUGACUGCGUACCUUUUGUAUAAUGGGUCAGCGACUUAUAUUCUGUAGCAAGGUUAACCGAAUAGGGGAGCCGAAGGGAAACCGAGUCUUAACUGGGCGUUAAGUUGCAGGGUAUAGACCCGAAACCCGGUGAUCUAGCCAUGGGCAGGUUGAAGGUUGGGUAACACUAACUGGAGGACCGAACCGACUAAUGUUGAAAAAUUAGCGGAUGACUUGUGGCUGGGGGUGAAAGGCCAAUCAAACCGGGAGAUAGCUGGUUCUCCCCGAAAGCUAUUUAGGUAGCGCCUCGUGAAUUCAUCUCCGGGGGUAGAGCACUGUUUCGGCAAGGGGGUCAUCCCGACUUACCAACCCGAUGCAAACUGCGAAUACCGGAGAAUGUUAUCACGGGAGACACACGGCGGGUGCUAACGUCCGUCGUGAAGAGGGAAACAACCCAGACCGCCAGCUAAGGUCCCAAAGUCAUGGUUAAGUGGGAAACGAUGUGGGAAGGCCCAGACAGCCAGGAUGUUGGCUUAGAAGCAGCCAUCAUUUAAAGAAAGCGUAAUAGCUCACUGGUCGAGUCGGCCUGCGCGGAAGAUGUAACGGGGCUAAACCAUGCACCGAAGCUGCGGCAGCGACGCUUAUGCGUUGUUGGGUAGGGGAGCGUUCUGUAAGCCUGUGAAGGUGUGCUGUGAGGCAUGCUGGAGGUAUCAGAAGUGCGAAUGCUGACAUAAGUAACGAUAAAGCGGGUGAAAAGCCCGCUCGCCGGAAGACCAAGGGUUCCUGUCCAACGUUAAUCGGGGCAGGGUGAGUCGACCCCUAAGGCGAGGCCGAAAGGCGUAGUCGAUGGGAAACAGGUUAAUAUUCCUGUACUUGGUGUUACUGCGAAGGGGGGACGGAGAAGGCUAUGUUGGCCGGGCGACGGUUGUCCCGGUUUAAGCGUGUAGGCUGGUUUUCCAGGCAAAUCCGGAAAAUCAAGGCUGAGGCGUGAUGACGAGGCACUACGGUGCUGAAGCAACAAAUGCCCUGCUUCCAGGAAAAGCCUCUAAGCAUCAGGUAACAUCAAAUCGUACCCCAAACCGACACAGGUGGUCAGGUAGAGAAUACCAAGGCGCUUGAGAGAACUCGGGUGAAGGAACUAGGCAAAAUGGUGCCGUAACUUCGGGAGAAGGCACGCUGAUAUGUAGGUGAAGUCCCUCGCGGAUGGAGCUGAAAUCAGUCGAAGAUACCAGCUGGCUGCAACUGUUUAUUAAAAACACAGCACUGUGCAAACACGAAAGUGGACGUAUACGGUGUGACGCCUGCCCGGUGCCGGAAGGUUAAUUGAUGGGGUUAGCCGCAAGGCGAAGCUCUUGAUCGAAGCCCCGGUAAACGGCGGCCGUAACUAUAACGGUCCUAAGGUAGCGAAAUUCCUUGUCGGGUAAGUUCCGACCUGCACGAAUGGCGUAAUGAUGGCCAGGCUGUCUCCACCCGAGACUCAGUGAAAUUGAACUCGCUGUGAAGAUGCAGUGUACCCGCGGCAAGACGGAAAGACCCCGUGAACCUUUACUAUAGCUUGACACUGAACAUUGAGCCUUGAUGUGUAGGAUAGGUGGGAGNNNNNNNNNNNNNNNNNNNNNUCUGCAUGGAGCCGACCUUGAAAUACCACCCUUUAAUGUUUGAUGUUCUAACGUUGACCCGUAAUCCGGGUUGCGGACAGUGUCUGGUGGGUAGUUUGACUGGGGCGGUCUCCUCCUAAAGAGUAACGGAGGAGCACGAAGGUUGGCUAAUCCUGGUCGGACAUCAGGAGGUUAGUGCAAUGGCAUAAGCCAGCUUGACUGCGAGCGUGACGGCGCGAGCAGGUGCGAAAGCAGGUCAUAGUGAUCCGGUGGUUCUGAAUGGAAGGGCCAUCGCUCAACGGAUAAAAGGUACUCCGGGGAUAACAGGCUGAUACCGCCCAAGAGUUCAUAUCGACGGCGGUGUUUGGCACCUCGAUGUCGGCUCAUCACAUCCUGGGGCUGAAGUAGGUCCCAAGGGUAUGGCUGUUCGCCAUUUAAAGUGGUACGCGAGCUGGGUUUAGAACGUCGUGAGACAGUUCGGUCCCUAUCUGCCGUGGGCGCUGGAGAACUGAGGGGGGCUGCUCCUAGUACGAGAGGACCGGAGUGGACGCAUCACUGGUGUUCGGGUUGUCAUGCCAAUGGCACUGCCCGGUAGCUAAAUGCGGAAGAGAUAAGUGCUGAAAGCAUCUAAGCACGAAACUUGCCCCGAGAUGAGUUCUCCCUGACUCCUUGAGAGUCCUGAAGGAACGUUGAAGACGACGACGUUGAUAGGCCGGGUGUGUAAGCGCAGCGAUGCGUUGAGCUAACCGGUACUAAUGAACCGUGAGGCUUAACCUU
rnacentral:rRNA from 1 species